rnacentral:rRNA from 1 species
AGUGAACGCUGGCGGUAGGCCUAACACAUGCAAGUCGAACGGCAGCACAGUAAGAGCUUGCUCUUACGGGUGGCGAGUGGCGGACGGGUGAGGAAUACAUCGGAAUCUACUUUUUCGUGGGGGAUAACGUAGGGAAACUUACGCUAAUACCGCAUACGACCUACGGGUGAAAGCAGGGGAUCUUCGGACCUUGCGCGAUUGAAUGAGCCGAUGUCGGAUUAGCUAGUUGGCGGGGUAAAGGCCCACCAAGGCGACGAUCCGUAGCUGGUCUGAGAGGAUGAUCAGCCACACUGGAACUGAGACACGGUCCCGACUCCUACGGGAGGCAGCAGUGGGGAAUAUUGGACAAUGGGCGCAAGCCUGAUCCAGCCAUACCACGUGGGUGAAGAAGGCCUUCGGGUUGUAAAGCCCUUUUGUUGGGAAAGAAAAGCAGCAGGUUAAUACCCCGCUGUUCUGACGGUACCCAAAGAAUAAGCACCGGCUAACUUCGUG